ensembl:snoRNA LOC120099025 small nucleolar RNA SNORA17
ACUGCACCUAGGGGCAUUGCAGGUGUGGCUGCUAUGCCACAUGUGUGUCAGUAGGUGGCAGAGGAGAGAGACUGACCUGUGAACAUC